rnacentral:rRNA from 1 species
AGUUAAGUAAGGAAGGGCGCACGGUGGAUGCCUUGGCACUAGGAGCCGAUGAA